AGUAGGGUCAGCUAACUAAAGCUAUCGGGCCCAUACCCCGAAAAUGAUGGCUCAACCCAUCCCCCACUA
rnacentral:tRNA from 1 species